rnacentral:lncRNA from 1 species
ACCGGGACUUGGGGAGCGAGGGAUGCAACAUGGUGCAUCUGGGAGGCCUGCUAACUGGCUAACUUCUCCGGCGUUCCUCCCGGCCGAGGCGUGGGCACAGAAUAGCGCAGGUCAGUAUGUACCUCGUUUUGUAUAUUGUCUUGAAACUUUACUCCUUUGUAUGUUUGAAGACAUCAUUUUCCAGUUUUGGAGCCGACUAAUGAACUAGUUCUUAAGUGAAAGGCAUUUAACACGACUGUGCAUCUACAGGUACUAGGUUUCCAAGAUGCCUUUCCAGACUAAAACCCACACAUGUGAGCCGCUGGCCGGACAAACAUCUGGCACCUAACGUGGGGCUGAAAAACAGCAGAGGACAUUUGGAAGAAACACUGCUGGUUUGGAGCUCCAUAGAAGAAGAAAAUAAUUAAAGGAAAUUCAUACCAGAGAAGAACACCCCAGUGAUGGCUAUUCUUGGUCAUAAACUUCACUACAUAUGGAAAUACUAAAACCCAAUCCAUUGGGGUCCAAACCAAUGGAGGGAUCGUUCUUGAUUGGAUCAUUCAAGAUGGAAAGACCCACCUUAAAUCUGGAUCAUUUGACCUGGAUCAGAAGAUCCACUCUAAAUAUGGGCCACACCUUCUAGAGACAAUGUAUAUAAAAGAACAGAGAAAAAA